rnacentral:rRNA from 1 species
CAGUAGCCGCGGGAAUACGGAGGGUGCAAGCGUUAAUCGGAAUUACUGGGCGUAAAGCGCACGCAGGCGGUCUGACAAGUCAGAUGUGAAAUCCCCGGGCUUAACCUGGGAACUGCAUUUGAAACUGUCAGGCUGGAGUCUUGUAGAGGGGGGUGGAAUUCCAGGUGUAGCGGUGAAAUGCGUAGAGAUCUGGAGGAAUACCGGUGGCGAAGGCGGCCCCCUGGACAAAGACUGACGCUUAGGUGCGAAAGCGUGGGGAGCAAACAGGAUUAGAUACCCCUGUAGUCCCUGUCUCUUAUAC